rnacentral:tRNA from 1 species
GGGUGAGUAGCUCAGCUGGAUAGAGCGCUUCCCUCCGGAGGAAGAGGCCGUGGGUUCGAAUCCCGCCGCGCUCA